UCUCCUGUAAGUACAUCUAAAUCGUUAGUGAAUAAUCAGCAAGUCCUCGGUUCUCCUAAUUUUGGGUCUAUAUAUUGAUUGACUAUGGCUUUACGUUUCAUAAAUCGUUUCGGAUGUGGCAUCAUGCCCAUUCCCUGUGUUAUUAAAUUGCCCAUCUGCAAUCCAAUGUUUAAUAUGCAGGUGCGCAAUCUUAAUAAGAAGAACGCUUCUGAUGCCAUAGCGACAAACGAAGAGUACCUAUGUGAACGCCUAAUUCCCCGAAACUGUUUUAAGAAUACGUGUGAAGAAGAAAAUAGUGUUAAUAAAAGAAUAGGCCGAAAAGCGCGACUAUAGUAAAUAAGGAUGGAGCAAGGAUGGAUCGGGUAGCCAAUCAAAUUCCAGA